UACGGAGGGUGCUAGCGUUGUUCGGAAUCACUGGGCGUAAAGAGCGCGUAGGCGGCUUAGUAAGUUGGGAGUGAAAGCCCAGAGCUCAACUCUGGAACUGCUUUCAAAACUGCUGAGCUAGAGAUUAGUAGAGGGUGGCGGAAUUCCUAGUGUAGAGGUGAAAUUCGUAGAUAUUAGGAGGAACACCGGUGGCGAAAGCGGUCACCUGGACUAAUACUGACGCUGUGGCGCGAAAGCGUGGGGAGCAAACAGG
rnacentral:misc_RNA from 1 species